GACCAUGGCUCAGGAUGAACGCUAGCUACAGGCUUAACACAUGCAAGUCGAGGGGCAGCAUUUUAGUUUGCUUGCAAACUAAAGAUGGCGACCGGCGCACGGGUGAGUAACACGUAUCCAACCUGCCGAUAACUCAGGGAUAGCCUUUCGAAAGAAAGAUUAAUACCUGAUGGCAUAGGAUUAUCGCAUGAUAAUCCUAUUAAAGAAUUUCGGUUAUCGAUGGGGAUGCGUUCCAUUAG
rnacentral:rRNA from 1 species